GACGAACGCUGGCGGCGUGCCUAAUACAUGCAAGUCGAGCGAAUGGAUGGGAGCUUGCUCCCUGAGAUUAGCGGCGGACGGGUGAGUAACACGUGGGCAACCUGCCUAUAAGACUGGGAUAACUUCGGGAAACCGGAGCUAAUACCGGAUACGUUCUUUUCUCGCAUGAGAGAAGAUGGAAAGACGGUUUACGCUGUCACUUAUAGAUGGGCCCGCGGCGCAUUAGCUAGUUGGUGAGGUAAUGGCUCACCAAGGCGACGAUGCGUAGCCGACCUGAGAGGGUGAUCGGCCACACUGGGACUGAGACACGGCCCAGACUCCUACGGGAGGCAGCAGUAGGGAAUCUUCCGCAAUGGACGAAAGUCUGACGGAGCAACGCCGCGUGAACGAAGAAGGCCUUCGGGUCGUAAAGUUCUGUUGUUAGGGAAGAACAAGUACCAGAGUAACUGCUGGUACCUUGACGGUACCUAACCAGAAAGCCACGGCUAACUACGUGCCAGCAGCCGCGGUAAUACGUAGGUGGCAAGCGUUGUCCGGAAUUAUUGGGCGUAAAGCGCGCGCAGGUGGUUCCUUAAGUCUGAUGUGAAAGCCCACGGCUCAACCGUGGAGGGUCAUUGGAAACUGGGGAACUUGAGUGCAGAAGAGGAAAGUGGAAUUCCAAGUGUAGCGGUGAAAUGCGUAGAGAUUUGGAGGAACACCAGUGGCGAAGGCGACUUUCUGGUCUGUAACUGACACUGAGGCGCGAAAGCGUGGGGAGCAAACAGGAUUAGA
rnacentral:rRNA from 1 species